ACAGGCCGGCCGUCGUUUUUGCGUCAUCGUAUGCCGUACAACUACCCCGCAAUUCUGUGUUCAUGCCGCUCUCUGCAAGUUUCCAUUUCUGGGAGGCUAGAGCGUACGGCGCCGCGCGCGUGGGUACGCUUUCCCGCACGGAUUCCCUCCCUUUUUCCCUCGGUACGAAGAUGCUCCCUUUUGCUUUGAUAAAUUCUCUCAUCUUUUCCAAGGGAUUUUACCGUUACCCGCUGCUGCUCACUCCGGCCUUGGGAAGGUAAAAAGGCAUUUACUGCGGCGCCGCUGAUUGAUUCAGCUUUGGCUGGUUCCAAGAAUCUGGAUCUUGGAGAAACCAGGUAAAAAAAAAAAAACAUAGCGGAAUCGCAUGGAUCUCCGUAAUUUUUUGUCAGAUCCACUACAGUAUCACAUGUUUUGAUUAUCACUGCUUUCGCUUAUGUUAGUCUGGAAUGUUCAUGGCAGAUCAACCUACUGAGAAUAGGCCGGCGAUGGAAGAUGUAGAGGCAAAUGCGCGCAUGGAUCGAUAACUCAGAUCUGCUUACCACUUGACUCUUUGCUUGCCAGGUAAUUGCAGAUUUCUCGCGCAGCGCUGCGCUACAUGCUGUCCCGAUGUUCUUCAAUUUCUUACACGUGGCGUCGCUGUCCAAAGUAAUUGCUUGGUGUAACAUAUUUGUCUCCUAUAGCCAGCUGCUUGCUGCUGGAGUAAAGGGUAUGGACUGCUACCUAGGUCAUUGUCGGUCACGUCACUGUUCCAUUGGUGACGUCUCGUGCUUAUCUUCUGGAAGAAAAGCGGCCGCGCGUAGGCUAGAUUCUUCCUCUGAACACAUGUGUGGAGCUGGAUCCACCGAUCAGUUGAUUUUUGCCGAGUUUUCGGUUUGUGGAGAUACACUUUGCCGUGUUUACUGCAUAAUUUGUUUAGGAAAUUAGCCAUGAAUUAGUCUAAUGCGGAUCAACUAAAGCCCAAAAUAAGAAAAAAUAACGUGAAAACAAGAAUACAAGAAUUCCCGAGCCUUGGGAUAGAUCUAGAAAUGUCCCUCUAUCGCUCAAGGAUUUACUUUUGCUUGAUGUUUGAUCAUAGAGGCGAUAAUUCAAAAGGGUCACUAUGCAAGAAAUAGAGAUCAAUGGUAACGACAUUAGAUUAUUCUUGAAAGGCAAAAUAUAGAUCAAAGGGAACGCUAAAAUGUUACUUCCUCCGUUUCACAAUAUAAGAGCGUUUUUGACACCCUAGCGUAAACAAUGCUCUUAUAUUAUGGGACAGAUGAGGUAUUUUUUUUCAACAUAUAAUGCAGUUCUUUCUACAGAACAUAUUGAAAACAAUAAGUAAUAAUGAUUGUACAUGAAUAUAUUUUUUGAGAAAUGAGAAAAACAAUACAAACAUAGACACUCACAACUUGUACGCAUCCUCUCCCUGCUGAAUGCAUGCCGGGACACCCAGCAUGAGAUAUUUUAGGAUUAACGAUUUAAUCACAAGCACCUCAUAGUUGACGGACUGGUCAUUCCAAUGAGAAACAAUAUAAUUCUUCCACCUCAAAAGGAAACUACAUUUUUCCAGUAGUUAAAUGCAAAUUUUUUCUGUUAAAAUGCAUCAUUUUACUCAUCUAUUUCUUAGUUUGUCGUUAAUUUAUUAAGAACCAUUCUGUGCUACCCUAUACUCGUGUAUUUGUUCGCAAUAUGACAUAGUUCCCAUCUAAUAUGAAAGCUUGAUUGUUUCUUCUAUUCACUUUGUUUUAUAUCUGUAGUAUAUAUCCCUCCAAGUCGCCACGUAAUUAAGUCCUUGCGCAAAAGAAAUAGCUAUGUGGGUACCAUGCCAAUAUGCCACCUUUGAAUUAUUCAACAAAAAAAAAAUUAUCAUUACAAACAAAUAUUCCUACUCAUUGUCUUCUAUGUCACAUUAUUCAUAAACUAUGGAGCCACCUCAUGGUGGAGGUGGACAGUAGAGUUGUGGGACUUGACACUGCCCAUGCCGCUGCUCACAUUUACACACACGUCCAUUCGCGGGAUUAACCCUGGUCUGCGUUAUUCUAGUGUGACUGGAGACACGGUAUGGCGUGUGUGUUUGUUGUGCUGGCCAGACCGGCUUGUGUAAUGGUGUUCUGUUUAUACGUCUUUCCUCGCUUAGGAAUAUCUGGUAUACUAGCACUCUUGCACACAGGACAACAUGCGAAAUUAAGGGACUCUUUGAUUCACAGGAUUCUAAAAACACGGAGAUAGAGAAAACAUAGAAUUGGAAUUUCAUAGUCAUCUCAAUCCUACAUGAUUUUAGACUGUUUCAUUGUAUUAUAUAGGAAAAACAAAGGUUUCUUUCAAAUAGGCUUGAGUGGAUGCUUGAAAUCAUAUGGUAAGUAGUAGUGAGAGAUCCUAUGAAUCAAACAACCAACAUAGAAAAAAUAUCUUCUAAUCCUUCAAAAUUUAUAUGGAAAUCCUUGUUAUUAAAGGCCGUUGAGAUUGGAUAGUGGGGAGGUACGGACCUUGCGAGUAAUCGCAUAGGUUAGUAUCAUACUCCCUCCGUCCGGAAAUACUUGUCCUAUAAAUAUAUAAAAUGGAUGUAUCUAUAACUAAAAUAAGUCUAGAUACAUCUACUUUUAGGACAAGUAUUUCGGAACGAAGGGAGUAUUAUAGUAGCCUAUGAUACUUACUCCUAAAUAUAUACACUAUUGUAAUGGUUGUAUUUCCGAGCAUGCAUGGCUAACAAUAAAGCCGGCAACUCGGUUUAUCUCAUUCUCACAUUAUUUAUAGUCAAUUUAAUAAUCAACUGAAAACUAUAUUUAUAACACCAUGUGCUGUACGAACAGCUCAAAUGUUAGUUGUUUGAUGAGGCCAAUCCGAUGGUAGAGAUGUGGCAAUCUGAGCACGCACUAGUAGAAAAAAGGUCUAUAGCUUUGGUUCGGUUGAUAAUCAACUAGGACUAAUGCUAGCCCCGUUCGGUCCUAAACUGGGGCUAAUCGGGGCUAAUGACCUUUCACGUGGUGGGGCUGGAAGCGAGGGGGGAAGGGGUAUUAGUACUGGUUCGUAUUAUGAACCGGGGCUAUUUUUUCGCUGCUUUUUUUAAGCACUUUUAGGGUUUAGGGUUUUGUAUUAAAUUGGAUGCGGCUAUUUUGCUGCCUCCUAUUUUUUCAUUUAUUUGUUUUGGGCAUUUUUUAAUUCUUGUUUUACAUUAAAUUGGAUGGUACAUACACAACAAUAAAGGGACGACUAUAUUGCACAUCAUCGCCACGAAUAUAUUACAUCAUCUCAUUCGUCGUGCUUUGUUGAACAUAUUACAAAAUGUAGACACGAGUUACAUGCACAUAUAUGCGUGUUUUUAUACUAUAUCAUUUCAUAUCAAUUGCAUCAACGGGCAAUAGUAUUCUUCCUUGACAUUUACGACCUCUGCAUCUAAGAAUCCGAUAAUUUUCUCUUCAAUUGCUCGUACAUGUUCCUGUAGUAGAAGACCGUCCUGUAACCGUUUGAUCUAAUUUAAAGAAGGGGUAGAUAUAUAUAUCAAGGAAAACGAACACAAUUCACGGUAAUAAAAUGAAGUUGUGAGUAUUAUUUAUCGUACUUCCUUUUUUAUGUUCCAGUUUUUGCCUAUCUCAUGGGUCGUCUUGUGAAUGAACUCGCAAAGAUAGUAUCCACGUAAAUUGUUCUCGUCUUCCUCCCUCAAGCAUUUUACGAGAAAAGAGUUCAAUCAAAAACAUAAUCAAGAAUUAUAAUGAUAUUAAAACUAGAAUAAAGAUAUGUGCGGACUAGCUAGUAGUUACUUACAUCUAUUUUUUUAAAUGUAAGCUCCGACUUCCAAAUGCCUCGAGCUUUGGCGGUGAACCGUUACCAAGCCCUGUCAGGAAAAGAAAAUGAAUAAAGGAGUUCUAUAUUAAUUCCUUGCUAUCGGGAAAUGAACGAGAAGUUGCCGAUAGUGUCAUAAUGAUUGAAAUUAUCUUUGGAGGCAUUUCUGCAUGUUCGCCCGUUCAUUGAGGGGUGUGCGUUCCGGGUACAUGACUAUUACUUGUCCCUCGUCAGGUACAAUGAUUACCAAAAUAAAGUGGAACCUGCGCACGCAUAACGAAUCAAUUAUACACUUAUAAUAACAUCGAGUAAGCAAAAAUAAAAUGUGUGUAGUAACACUCACUUGAAGUUGUAAGGAAAUAGUAUUUCCCUUUUGGUACCAGAAAACCUUAACCCUUGUAUCAAGUUACUCUGUCUCGCGUGGCUUCGUUGCGAGACUUUGGUGAUGAAUGUAAUAUGGGUCAGUGAACCCAUUGUCAUAGAGUUGUCCUCUUUUGCAUUCGAAAAUCUUCAUUCUGCAAAAUUAAUAUAGUGAUGAGUAAGAUUAUACUGCAAAAACAAGCUGAGUAAGACUUAAUGACAUAAAUUAAUAAUACUUACAAACAAUAGGCAGUGAUGAUAGAUUUUUCGAGGGCGUCUUGUUUGUACAACUGAAAUAAUUCAUCGAAUUCAAUCAUUAGCAUGCCUUGUCCAGUCCUGAAAUGCUCGUCUUUAUAUGCAAGGUAGAUCCAGUUUUGCUGUUCAGCACAUGGUUGCAUGUACCAGUCAUGCAAUCUUCGUAUUUUUGUUGUUACCUCGUUGACUAACUCAGGUUUGACGAGAGGAGCCCUGUACUAGUACACGCAUGUUAUGUCUGCGAAUUCUGCAAAUGGUUUAAGUACUCAUCAAUAGACAUGCCUUGAGCCUUGGCGCUUCUCUGUAUAAUGCAACAAACUCCGGAUCGAUACCAGCUGUUUUCAUCAUUCCUCCGCUCAACCGCAGCUCCGCUCGAGCACAUCUUUGUAUUGGAAUACACUUUGAGCGGGGGAACGAUUGGUUUUUUGUUGUCCGAGCUGGGCAACUGAUUUUCCGCUGGACGUACUACUCUUCAACCUCUGCUUUUUUGCCUGAGCCGACUUGAGAAUAGAGCGUUCAUAGUCUGCUGGCAACGGUGGCGAGGGAUCUGCAAGGGUUUUCAGCAUUUUCACGCAAGCAUCGUGAUCUUCUGGGGUGGCCGGGAACUCUGCCUCUUCCGGCUUCUUCUUGUUAGCCGUCUCAAUCUUCCAAUGUUGAUGCUGGGCGUCUGCCCUCUUAAUAUUGUCCUCUCCAGUAUAGUCCCAAGGUCUCUUAUCCAUAUGCUUAUGAGGUACUUUUGAGAGGAGCGACAACUUAUGUUUCGGUGAUCGAAACCCCUUUCUGCCGCCACUAUUAGCGGUGGUACGUUUCAGCUUUUUUCCCCUGAUCCUUAGUGGACGGAGAUGGCUGACGGGGCGGUGGAGACGGCUGAUGCGGCGGUGGAGACGACUGCGCUGGAGACUGGUGACGCGACGAAGACAACGAUUGCGCUAGACACUGGUGAGGUGGAGGAGAAGAAGAAUUGCUGCUAUGAGGAGUCGGUGGCCUUGGCAUCCAAUUUGGAAGCAAGAUGUCCUGCUUUGGCCAUACAACAGUUUGUUUCUUGACUUCUCCAAGUUGAGUCAAAUCCCUAUCUUCACCUGCAGGGUGGUCGAGCUUCAGCUCCUCAUAACCGUUGAUCAUUUCAUCCACCGCGACGACAACGCACCCUUCUGGAACCGGAGAGCAAUGCCAAGUUGGAUUAUGUCCAAUUGGUAUGGCCAUGCCGACCGCCACCGUCAACCUUAAGUUAGUAAAUUUCACCUUUAGCUCACAAGGUGUGCUCUCUGUGAUAUCAGCCACUUGGUAGAGACGAGGAGGAUCCGUCGUCAGUGCAUCAUCACCAUCAUCCUGGAGCUGCGUGGAAGCGACGUUGAUUUUCCGAUUUGAUGCAGCUUCUAUCAUGAGCCGCUGAGAUUGGCCGCUACCUUGCUGUCUGUCGAUUUGAUCCUGCUGCAGCCGCUUUACUGUUUCUUCUAGAUUAUGCAGCCGAUCAGCCUCAGUCGCUUUAUCACGUGUCUCUUUUUCAUUUCUCCUCUGAUGGCUUCUAUCGGGAAAUCUCUUCCUUUCCUCGAAAAACGCAAGCAUCCACGACGGGGAGCCUGGUACGCCUCGUGCUCGCCCUUUGUGUUCCUUAUUCCCAAGGGUGCGUGUGAGCUCGUCCUUCUCUCGAUCGGGAACGAUCCGUCCCUCUUCAACAUCUUGUACUGCACGUCUAAUGUCCUCGAUGGAUAGGGGAUUAUCUUUGUGUCUUUUGUUAUAUAUUGCCUUCCCUUCUUUGUCCAACAAGCCCCCAUGCACGUAAAAUCAGUUUCUUCCCCGUUCGAGCCAUCUUAAGGGCUCUGGAGUUAUAUUUUUUUCCAUAAAUGAUGCCUCAAGUGCUUCUCACUUAGCCAUCUUACCGCCGUAGCCACCACGCCCCAUAAUAUGGUGGUACUUCCUCUUACCUGCAUUCAUCUUAUUUGUUGCACACUUUUUCAAGGCGUCCUCCGAUUUCUUGUAUGCCACAAAUUCGGCCCAGUAGGCUUUUAUCUUCUCAUAGCCGUGAACGAAAUCUGGAGUCUUAUCUUUCAAGAUAAAUUCCUGGUGCAAUCUUUUUUUCUAGCCCGUGAAUAGAUCGGCCAUCUUCUUAAGAGCCCACUCCUUGACUUUUUUCUCUAGGGCCUCUUUUCGCAUCUUCAUUUCCUCCUCAUUUGGCUCCUCCUCAUCUAGAUCCACCUCUGGCGCCGACAGGGUGAAAUGAAGCAUGAGCUUUGUCCAAAGGUUUUCUUUGGCUGUUGUGCCGACAUAUGAGACAUCUUUCUCCCUUGGCUUAAUACAUUCUCGAGUGGUGAUAUGGAUGUGGUCCCUAACAACAACUCUGACGCUUUCACAAACUUCUGCUUUACAUCUGUAGGAGCAAUUGGUUGCCCGACAUUUGAGACUGUUUCGAUCCUGUAUCGCUCACCGUCAUCCAGCUUCUUGGUUGGGCCUCAUUUUGUCCGUACUGAAGUUUUGCUCGAUCUGGAGGGCUAAAUGUCAGGACCCCGAUCCUGAGUCAUAAGAACCUAGCCUGUAACACAUCACAUCACUUUGCGGCCUCACGCACGGUAAACUCCACGGCUGCCACCUUACCUUGGCCAGGACCAUUUACGUCUUUUGGCUCACGUAUAUGAAUAUGUUGCUAGCGUUCAUUCGACAAAGAACCCGGGUCGACAUGACUAGUUAUAAACCCCAGCGGUACAACCGUACAGGGACAGGCAUACAUAACCAAGCAAAGGAGGUGUCGGUCAUCAGCGUGUGUAGACGAGUCGUAGCAAGCUACAAGGACUCCAUUACAUCGCGUGACAUUUCCCCGAGGGGACAGACACAGCAGCAAAGAAGGAUACAUGCCGGUCAAUCAACGUGUUCCGAGCAGUAGCAAGCUACCAAGGCUCGAUGGAAGCACAAAGAGGCAUUUCCCUGUAAAGAGUACUACUAAAGGCAAACAACUAGGUGUCGAAUCCCACACAUAUAAUGCAUUUCAAACAUACAAACAUUAUGCACGAUAUGUGUAGAUACAACAUGGCAUCACAACAUAACUCUAUGACUCAAGCAUUUAUUAAAGACUCAUAAGAGUCAACAUAAUAUGAUAUUACAAACAGGGGUCUCGUGACCCGACACUCAAGUCAUACAAACAACAAGCGGAAGCAAUUCAUGUCUGGGUACAGACAUCUACUAAAAGUGGCUGGAAGAGCCUGAAAAGCUACUACGACCCUACCAAAGGAGCCAGACCUCUGUCUGGGAUUCCCAAGCUAUUCCGGUCAACACCGAACACGUCGCGUAGAAACCUUAAUGAGACUAAAUCUUCUCUGCAAAACAUAAAUAAAGCAACCGUGAGUACAAAGGUACUCAGCAAGACUUACAUCAGAACUAUCAACAUAUGCAUCAUGUUUCAAUGGAAGGAUUGUGUGGUUUGAUUGCAGCAAGCCAGCUUUGACUCUUGGCUAACCUGUACUACGACUAUAAGUUCUUUCUUUGAGGUGGGAUAGCGCACACGAGUCCACAUAUUCACCAAUUCAAUACCCUACUAUGGAUUCACUCUCGUCUCCCUACGAGAAGGCCUUCCAUAGCACUCACACUUAUCUUGCAUGUUUUAGAGUAUCCAUUUAAAUUGUCUAUGUACCACGUAAUGUUUCCAAGUAGUCCAUAACCGAGGACGCGGCUAUUCGAACAGAUUGAAUCACCCUGCAGGGGUAUACUUCUUCACACAUGCUCCCACCACUUAGCACCAUAUGCUCGUCAUGCAUCUCGGCAACCUUCAAGCGGAAGCACUGGCGUGGGUGUCGGCCACGACCGUUAACCACACAAGACCCUAGUCCAGGUUUAUCGCCUAUUUGAGACUGAACCCGCAAGGAAGUCGGGCCGAGGUUUCCUCUACGGCCCCAAACGAUGCGCGCAGGGUUCCCAAGCCCACCAUUCGGGUGCCACUUGGUACACCGUGCCACUGUGUAUCUACCGUAGUGAAGCCUACCCCGUCGGGCAGAGCUAAACACGGCCGCCAACACUUUUCGUACAAACACCAGAAACUAAUUGCAACUCCUGGACAGAGAUCUAGGCAAUUAAUAAGCUGAGCGGGGUCAUAUUUCAGGGCCCAAUGCAUGGUAGUAUCUUGUCUUGGAUAACAUACACAGAACUCAGUUCUUAAGGACGGUCCCAAUGAGAGAACCCGCCAUGUACUCCUACAUGGCCUCUCAUCGCUAUCUUUACCAAAUCAGAUUCACACCUUUACUCUCACACUGUAGAACAUGAUCACAACCAUUCCGAUUCAUCAUCCAGAUGGAUCAGACCCGACACGACUCUAAGCAUAGCAGGCAUUGUAAACAAGCAUGGAUGAGUAAGCACAACAAGGCUCAAGCAGUUGCUACUCAUGCUAAGUGGUUUCAACUAUUUACUGUGACAAAAUCAGGUCAUGCAGAGGAAUGGGUUCAACUACCGAUAACAUGCACAGUUGAAUCGUGUUUGUCCUAAUGCAGUAAAAGAGAGCAGGAGCGAGAGAGUGGGUUUAUUUCAAUAUGCUCAAGGGGGGUUUGCUUGCCUGACACGUCUGAAGAUAGCAAUGAGUGUUCAUCAAUGUCAACGAUCACAUCGUCGGAAACAUCGUUUAGCGAGGGGGAACAACACCGGCAAACAAGAAAGAACAACAAUUACUUCACGGAAAUGCAACACUAUGAUGCAUGCUCAAGACAUGAAAUGAAAGGUGGAAGGGCUAAUGUGGCUAUCAUUUCUUAAGGUGCAGCUGGGUUUGAAUUAGGAUCCAAACAUCACUUCAAGCCGGGUAUUUCCCCGGGUAGCCUUUUAAUUGAUUUGACCUGAUGCUCAUAACAAAUUAUUCCAACAUGUAUGGAGUUAGUAUUUUGAGGUACUGAUUUGCAUUGACUAAUGUUGAGCAUAGUAAUUGAAGUGGAAUUAAAAUAAGUAUCAAUUUCCAACUCCAAACUAUUUAUUAAACUUACCCUAUUCAUCAUUUUGCCUAUUUGGUGUUGUUAACUUUUUCAAACAUACAUGAAAAUGCCAUAAUCAGAUUCCUUGGAUUUUUCUGAUACUUUUUUAUAUAUAAAUUAUUUUCAUCCGAGUUAUAUUUUAAUUUCUAUGAUUUUUGCAAGUCUUAGGCAUUUUCUGGAAUAAUUUUAUAAACAGAAAAUACUAUUAUUGCAUCACCACUGACGUCAGCAGGUCAACUGGCCGGCUAGGUCAAACCUGACAGCCAGGGCCCACUAGUGAGUGACACAAGUUUUAAAAAGAGUUUAAUUUUAAUCUUUUAUUCCUAAUUAGGGUCUGGGCCCACUAGUCAGUGAGUCUUUAGGUUUAAUUAAUCUGAUUAGUUAGUUUUUGUGAUUGACUUAAUUUAAACAGGACUGGGCCCCACCUGUCUGUGACUCAGGGGAGUCAAACCCUUGGUCGACAGGGUCAGUCCCACCAGCGGCUCGACGCCGGUGAGGUCCGAGAUGGCGGAGGUGAUCGGAAAUCACCCUCCGGCGACCAUGCGAGCGGCAGAAGCUACCUACAUGGAGAUGGGACUCGCCCGCAUCCAUUCCAGCCGAUUUGGAGCUCUGAGGUGGCCUGGAGCAACGGAGGCGACGAGCGGGGCGGUCGCCGGAGUUCGGCCACGGUGGGGAUCGAGGCCACGGGGCACGGAAGAGUGAGUAGAAGAUGGCUACGGCUUCCUGCGGGCGUGGAGACCACAGGGAGGUGCUCGGCAGCGGCCCUAGGUGGCUCUAGCCACGACGGCGCCAUGGCCGGCGGCAGGAGCUUCGAACUCCGGUGGCACGGGGUGCUAGGAGAGGGGAACGGCGAUGAGGCAAGGGGGAAACGGAUCCGGAGCUCACAGGGAUUCGAUUGGAGCAGACGGCGAGCUCGGGGACACUUUGUUUGGCGCGAAUCGACGAGGAAGGUCCGGCGGCCGGAGGUGGAGAAGAUGGCGGUGAGGCGAUGACAGGGGGCCUCCGGGCUUGAUUCCUUCGGCAUGGAGGAGGUACUCGUCGUGGUGGAGAGAAUGGGCUGCUCAGGGGGCCUUCGCUGCGGUCGGAAAGACGCCGGUGAGCUCAAGCAGAGCUCGGCCAUGGCGGGAGGAAGAAGAGCAGAGGGGGAGAAGGAGGAAUGGAUGAGGCAGAGGGGUUCGAGGGAGGAGGAAAAGCAAGGCACGGGGGAGGCAUCACGCUGGCUAGGAUGGACAGGUAGGCAGGGAGGAGGUGGCGCCCUGGCGAGCUCGCCGUCCCCUGCUUCUCCUCUGCCUUCUGGGAAGAGGAGGGAGACGACAGGGGACCCCCCUGGUUGGUUGGGCCUGGAGUGGCGACAUGUAAGUUCUUCUCUGUCUUUUUCUUUUUCUGCUUUUAUUUCUUUCUGGCAUUUAGGUUUAGGUUUUAAAGUAAAAUGUUUAGAUAUUUUAUAAAACCCUAAAUUAGUGUUAUGUGACAGUGAUAAAAUUAAGCAAUGCCACAUAAUAGUUUCAACAUUUUUGAAACUCUAAAAUCGAAGGAAUCAAAUUAAUUCCAUUCCAAAUAGCUAUUUAGUCAAAUCAAAAAUCCAUUUCAAAAUGUUUCUGUGACUUCAAAUUUUGGUUUGACAAAUUUGUUUUAUGUCACUAUUUUACCAAGUAUUUGGAACAUUUUCUUAGUCCCUUUUAAGGUAUUAAUAUUUAUUGCCUUGUUGUCAAUUUUUCAAAUCAUUGGGGUUUUGAUCACUUCCCAAUUGUAGAUCAUCCCCAUUGUAUUAAGUUGAUUUGAAUGCAUGCAUGAAUGCUCACUGAUGCAACUAACUACAAACCACAAUCUAGGGGUGUGACACUAAAAUAAAGAGUUAAUAUAUGUAUAUAGCAGAGGGUUAAUUUAUUAAUAUAUAUAUGCACCUCGACGAAGCGGUCGACUUCUCCCUCGUCGGCUUCUUCCUCAUUGGAGCCGCCGAUUCCUCCCUCAUCCGAGGCGUGGGCGUCUACCUCACCGAAGCUUCUACCUGGUGUGUUGAGAGACUCAUCUCCCUCGUCGGACUCGUUCAGAAACUGAUUGGUGACAUCGACAUCGCAAACUAAAAUACCAUCCCCGCGGAUGACACCAUGCAUCACGUCUUCCUGAUAUUCGUCUCUGCCGUGUAUUGGAUCCAUAGUAUCUACAAAUUAAUUAAACAUAAGGAACUAAAUUAACUAACAACUAAAACUCCCGCUUAUAUACAUCGAAUAAUCCACUUAAUUAAUGCAUCAUCGAAUAAUCCACUUAAUAUUAUCGAAUAUAUAAUCUGGAAUACAUAAAUAAUACUUCUCUCGAAUACACUAAUACAUCGAAUAAUAUAUAACUGAUCAACCAACAAAGAGCCAUCGUUGUAAUGAGGCGCAGGCGGUGGACACCCAUGUGCAGGGACUAUCACCGGAUCAUAGCUCGGGUGAGAUCCCUGAAGAACUUGCCAGGUACUGGAGAACCUGGCAUCCAACGCCUUCAUGUAGCGACGGACGUGCUCGUCCUCCUCCCUGACACGGCAACGUACCUCCUCCUCGGGGGCUGGCAACCUAGGCACCGAAAGUGGCCCCCGCGAUCACCAUCAAAGAAGCUUCGGGUCGAUGACGGGAGCCCGGUUCCUCACCAAGGUGCGCGCCCCGGAAGGUAACUCCUCGCACUGCCAGCCCGGCGGAGCCCAGUCGACGACGAGGAUGCGGGUCGGGCAUCGUAUGUCCUACUAUUUAAAUUUCUACUAUUUAAUAAACUUUUCUAAACUUCUACUCCCUCCGUUCCAAAAUAUAAGACCUUUUAAAGAUUUCAUCAGAAAACUACAUACGGAGAAAAAUGAGUGAAUCUCAAAAUGAGUGAAUCUGUACUCUAAAAUAUGUCUAAUGGAUUCUCUUAACCUUUAAGGAAUUUAACAAAAUGGCGACGUUCUGGAUGUGUAGAAAAUUAUUUAUAUUUUUUCUGAUCUCAUCUAUCCUUCUAUAUGUCAUAUUGUCUACUGUCAAAGGAUCCAAGAAAACCAUGACUUCAUCUAACAUAAUAUUAAUAGGCGCAUGAUGCUAUGAAGCUUUACAAAUAUGUUUUGUAACAGAAUCCCGAAUAGGAUAAUUAGCUUUUUGGUACGCGGUUCAAAAAGAGCCAUUCGAAUAUCGAUAUUUGGAAGGACCUUGCUGAACUUCAUACCAAAAAACAAAUUAUUCUAUCAUAAACUCCGUUCCAAAACAACUUUCAAGGGCUUGAUAGCGCCAUGCGUCUGUUACUACCAGGUAAUGAUGAAGCCAUGGAUUUAUUCAUGAAAACCAUGACUUCAUCAUUACCUAGUAGUAAUAGAUGGAUGAUGCUAUGAAGUUUUACAAAGUUGUUUUGUAACGGAAUCCCGAAUAGGAUAAUUAGCUUUUUGAUACGCAGUUCAAAAAGAGCCAAUCGAAUAUCCCUAUUUGGAAGGACUUUGCCAAACUUCAUACCAAAAAACGAAUUAUUCUAUCAGGAACUCCGUUCCAAAACAACUUUCGAGAGCUUGAUAGCGCCAUGCGUAUGUUACUACAAGGUAAUGAUGAAGCCAUGUAUUUCUACAAGAAAACCAUGACUUCAUCAUUACCUAGUAGUAAUAGACGCAUGAUGCUAUGAAGCUUUACAAAGUUGUUUUGAAACGGAAUCCCGAAUAGGAUAGUUAGCUUUUUGGUACGCAGUUCAAAAAGAACCAUCCGAAUAUCACUAUUUGGAAGGACUUUGCUGAACUUCGUACCAAAAAACGAUUUAUUCUAUCAGGAACUCCGUUCCAAAACAACUUUCAAGAGCUUGAUAGCGCCAUGCGUCUGUUAGUACCAGGUAAUGAUGAAGCCAUGGAUUUCUUCAAUACUUUGACAGACAACAACGUCACAUAUAGAAUCUAGCUAGCUAGGUUACAUAAAUGAGACCAAAAAAAGAUUGAAUCAACUUGUGCACAUACAUAAUGGGGCACUCUUGACAAAUCCAUUAUUAACACUAACAAUGUUGUUUUCUCUAGCUUAACCUACAUCUAAAAGAAAAUUCACUUAAACAUAUACAAUCUACAAUCUACAAAUAUUCUACAAUUUACAAAUAUCACUUAAAUCACUACAAAUAUCAUUUAAGCAUAUGCUUAAGUGAUAUUUUUAGUGAUUUAAGUGAUAUUUGUAGAUUGUAGAUUUGUAUAUGCUUAAACACUAACUGUGACCUAAACUAAAAGGCCCUAAACUAAAUUACUUAACAUAAAAGAAACAUGCAUACUUAACCCUAAACUAACAAUAACAUAUUAAUUAACACUAACUGUGACCGACAAAUAACACAAAUAACCUAUUUAACACUAACCUACCUAACCCUAAAUUCACGAAAUAUUCUACAAAUAACAGUUAAGCAUAUACAAUAGCAAAAUUAAGCAAUAAUCUACAAAACACUAAUUAGGAAUCUAUAUACGUACAAAACAAUUAAGCACAUAAGCAUGUCGACGAUCGAGAGAGGAGAGGAGAGAGGCUCACCGGCCACAUGGGAUGUUGGAUAGAGGAGGGCGUCAGAGGCGGGGAGGAGCGCGACACCAGCGCCGGGGAGGAGGGCGCGUGAGGAGGUCCGGCGCCGGCGAGCAUGACGGUAGCAGGGUGUCGACGACGGGGAGGAGGGCGCGCGAGGAGGUCCAACGCCGAUAGGAGGACGGAAGGGCGACAACGAUGGCGAGUAGGACGACAGGGCGACGGCGACAGCGCGCAGCCUGGCGGCGUCGAGUAGUUCGUCCGGUGCUGCAGGCGAGCGAGAGGAGGAAGAAAGAUCGAACCGGCGAUUUGGGUUGGACAUUUCCAACUCCCGCUUAUAUAGGUAGAGCUUUAGACCCUUUUUCGGCAGCCCAAAAGGUGGGAAGCACGGGCCUUUAGUCCCGGGUCGUGGCUCCACCUGGGACUAAAGGGGUCUUUAGUCCCGGUUCGAGCCCCGACCCGGGAGUAAAUGCCUGGCUGGCUCCGGCGCGGCGUAGGGCAAUCUUUAGUCCCACCUCGCCGAGCGAGGAGCGCUGAGAGUGCUUUAGAAGCACUACCGCACCAGCUCAUUUGAGCUUCUCUCUAUUGCAGGCCUGUGGGCCUAACUCUCCUCUCGUUGCCUAUUGAGCCCCGCGAGCCUGCAUCCUGGCCCACAUGUCAGUUAGGUUUCUAGUCGUAUGGAGGCCGUGAUGGACCAAUAGGCGGCAUUUUUUUACUUUAAUAAUUUUUAGUCCUAGUUUAUAUUUUAAUUCUUUGCAAUUAAAGAUUUUCUUCUCUUUUAUUUUAGUUUUCCAUUUAAGAUUUUAACAAAAAAACUUUAUGAAGAUUGUUUUGAGUUGAUAUUUUUUGUUUCUUUUUAGUUAAUGUUUUACUUGAUUCUUUUGACAAAUAAAACAGUUUGAUAAUUUUAGUUCAUUAUUUUUAGUUAAUAUUUUAGUUGAUUCUUUUUAGUUGACAUCAUAAAUUUUCAACAAUUUCUCACUUCAUUUGAUAUUUUUCAUGCAUUUAAUUAUUUGUUUUUGAGCUAAUUGACCCUGAAAUUGAAAAGCACUACAAAUUAACUCUGAAAAUGUUGAAAGUUGGCAUGGUAUCAUCAUUUCACCCACAUAGGAUGUGCUAAAAAGUUGAGAGGUUUGCAACAAAAUCUAGAUGCACUUCGUGUACAAAACGGACAAUCUCUUUCGAAGUAUUAGGGUUUGGAACGAGAACUCAUUUGUUACAAAUGGAUUUCACUUUUUUUAAACUUAUUUGAACUCCAUACUUUUUGUGUGUUCAAAGUGCACCAUUCAAAGGCACAUCACAAAUUUUCAAUAAUUUCCGACUUCAUUUGGUAUUUUUCGUGCAUUUACUUAUUUGUUUUUGAGCUAAUUGACCCUGAAAUUGAAAAAGCACUAUAAAUGAACUCUGAGAAUGUUGAAAGUUGGCAUGGUAUCAUCAUUUCACUCACAUAGCAUGUGCUAAAAAGUUUAGAGGGUUAGGACAAAAACUGGAUGCACUUCGUGUAUAAAACGGAGAAUCUCUUUCGAAGUAUCAGAGUUUCGAAUGAGAACUCAUCUGUUACAAAGGGAUUUCAUUUUUUGAACUGAUUUAAACUCCAUACUUUUUGUAUGUUCAAAAUGCACCAUUCAAAGUCACAUCACAAAUUUUCAACAAUUUCUUUCGAAGAAUCAUCAGUACACAUCACAUAAAGUUUAAUACAUUAGUACACAUCACAUAAAGUUUAAAACAUUACAUAGAUUUAUAUUUCGAUCCCUUGCCUAUGAUCGCUUUGGCUGUAACCAUGGAUCAUCUUCAUUAUUUAACGUGAUGCUUGGGUCAAUUCUCACUAUGAAGGGCGGAAUUUCAUCAAACUUAUUAUAAUCUGCUGACAUGUCUGUCUUGUCCUUGAUCUCCAUGAUGUUUCUUUUCCUUGAAAAAACUAUGUGACGCUUUCUCUCAUCGUCCGAUGUAUUCAUUUUCUUGUUUUAUUUCAGUCUGGAGGACAUGUCUUUUAUGUAGAAAACCUGAGCCACAUCAUUGGCUAGGACGAAUGGCUCAUCUCUGUAACCAAGAUAGUUGAGAUCAACUGUUGUCAUUCCGUACAACUGGUCUACCUUUACCGCUUCUCCAUUCAUGUUCACCCAACUACACCGAAACAAAGGGACCUUUAAAGUAGGUCCGUAGUCAAGUUCCCAUAUCUCCUCUAUGUAACCAUAGUAUGUGUCCUUUUUCCCAUUCUCGUCUGUCACAUCAUAGCGGACACCACUGCUUUGGUUGGUGCUCUUUUUAUCUUGGGCGGUCAUGUAAAAUGUAUUCUCGUUUAUCUCGUAUCCUUGGAAAUGUAGUAUAGUCGAAGAAGGUGACGCGACCAACAAGUAGAGUUGAUCUCCAACAAUGUUGUCAUUAAUGAGACGUGCUCGCAACCAAGUGCCAAAAGUAUCCAUGUGUUUUUCUUCAAUCUAGGAGAUAGCCUUCCCUGGGAACUUUUUAGAACUGUGUAGUGUGCUUGAGUGAAAGAAUGCCCGUACCUACAUAUCACUGCUUUCUUGCCUAGUGUGUCUU
rnacentral:lncRNA from 1 species